rnacentral:rRNA from 1 species
AUGGAGGCUCAGCGCCGGGGGGCGUCCCCGUGCCCCGCUGUCGGACGUCACGUGCCCCGACUACUUCAAUGCCGAGGUCGAGCGUGCGCGGGUGUCGCUGACAGAGGAGUAGUUGGCCCACCCGGAGUACACCGCCGGCAACCACGAGGCAUCGGCGGCCUACUUCGAACGCCGGCAGGCGGAGCGGCUAGCCUCCACCAACAACGCACCAGUGGUUUGGGGGACAAAGAACAGCGACGCCCGCAGCCUGUGGUGGGGCGCCCCAGGCUGCACGCUCCACGCCGCCCCUCGAGGUGCCUCGAGCACCUCGAGGGCGGCAACGAGCCGCCGUUCAUGUACCCUGCCGCCCCCGCCCCCCCGCCGGAGCGGCGGCCAAUGGCUGCCGAGGAGGACCGACUCCACUUCCUCCUCCUCCCACUCCUCCGGGUGGGCGCUUACAACAUCAAGGCCGAGCCCGCGGAGACGCCGCUCAGCCAGCGCACGCGUAGCGCCGACAUCGUCAUCAACGAGGGCGGGCACGCCUUCUCCUCGGCUCCUCCCCGCCUCGUCAAGCCGAAGAGGGAGCCGGGGCUCGCCGCCGUGAAGACGAAACCAGGGCUCGCCGUCGUGAAGAGGGAAGAGCUCGACGACGCGGCGGCCAUGAAGUGGGCGCGGCUAGAGUUGGAGCGCCAGCGCCGCGCUCUAGAGGAGAUCGCCGCUCGGCGCCAUGGCCGCGACGAGGGGGGGCGUCGUCGUUCUGUACGACAGCGACGACGACGCGCCGCCACCGGUCCGCUAGGGUGA